rnacentral:rRNA from 1 species
GAACGCGAAGAACCUUACCUGGGCUUGAACCGCGGCUUACAGAGGCUGAAAGGCCUUGCUCCUUCGGGAGGUGCCGUAGAGGUGCUGCAUGGCUGUCGUCAGCUCGUGUCGUGAGAUGUUGGGUUAAGUCCCGCAACGAGCGCAACCCUUGUCGUUAGUUGCCAGCGCGUCAUGGCGGGGACUCUAACGAGACUGCCGGCGUAAGCCGGAGGAAGGUGGGGACGACGUCAAGUCAUCACGGCCUUUAUGUCCAGGGCUACACACGUGCUACAAUGGCCGGCACAAAGGGCUGCGAACCCGCGAGGGGGAGCCAAUCCCAAAAAUCCGGCCUCAGUUCGGAUUGCAGUCUGCAACUCGACUGCAUGAAGUUGGAAUCGCUAGUAAUCGCGGAAUCAGCAGGGUCGCGGUGAAUACGUUCCCGGGGUCUUGUACAC